rnacentral:rRNA from 1 species
UUUGGCUCGGUGGUCGAUGAAGAACGGAGCUAACUCUGUGAUGCCGUGUGAACUGCAGGACACAUGAACAUCGACACUUUGAAUGCAUAUUGCGGAAUUGAGCUUGUCUCAAUUCCAUACCUGGCUCAGGGUCGGUUAAACAUCUAUCAGACGGUUUUCCGUUUGCAUUGAGCCCCUCGCUAUGACUUGUCACAGCGGAGCUCUAAGAUUCGUCUUGCAGAGUGCAUCGACUCGACUCUUGGGAGAGAUCCUGGGUUGUUGUCGGUGGCUGCAGUGACAUGGCUGCCAAGACUCGACUGAUCGUCUUGUAAGCGCCGACCGAUUUCACUUUCGACCUGAGAUUAGGUAAGGUUACCCGCCGAAUUUAAGCAUAUUAAUAAGCGGAGGAAAAGAAAACAACUGUGAUUCCCUUAGUAAUGGCGAAUGAA